UGUUAUAUAGUGUAGAACCGAAGCGGGCA
rnacentral:piRNA from 1 species